GACUGUUGCAUAUUUUAGAAUACAAACCAGAAGAUAAGAAAGAUGACGAAAGGGUGACUAAACCAGAACAUCUCGAACAACCUGAGAAUAAAGAAAUCAAAGCAGACUGUGAACUGAUUGUCUCUGAUAAAGAUCUGAACAUAUUUUAUCAGGGGAAGCCUGUAGGAAAUGGUCAUCACGUUAAGCAUGGAGAUGACAUUAUGUUAUUUUGUCUCAACAGAAAAGCUGUAAACCAUCAGCCUGUCAUCAAGAAAUUGACUUGUCAUAAUGGUCAAUGGAAUAAGGAGAUUCCAUCCUGUCCUUUUGACUCUGAAUACAAACCAGGAGAUAAGAAAGAUGACGAAAGGGUGACUAAACCAGAACAUUUCGAACAACUUGAGAAUAAAGAAAUCAAAGCAGACUGUGAACUGAUUGUCUCUGAUAAAGAUCUGAACAUAUUUUAUCAGGGGAAGCCUGUAGGAAAUGGUCAUCACGUUAAGCAUGGAGAUGACAUUAUGUUAUCUUGUCUCCACGGAAAAGCUGUAAACCAUCAGCCUGUCAUUAAGAAAUUGACUUGUCAUAAUGGUCAGUGGAAUAAGGAGAUUCCAUCCUGCCAUUUUGACUCUGAAUCCCAGUGUACCAUACACAAGCUUUAUGAGAUAUUACCCUCAGAAGUACUUCCAAAGUCUAACAAAGCUCACUACGAGAGAGGCGAGGAAGUUGAGGUUUACUGUUAUAAACCAGGUUAUUUUAUUUCGGGCCAGAAGACUGUGUGGUGUUCAUCAGAGGGGUAUUGGCAUCCGUCUGAUUUGAAAUGUAAGUACUCGUAUUAUGCUGAAAUAUACCAGAAAUAAACCAGGUUAUUUUAUUUUGGAACAGAAGACUGUGUGGUGUUCAUCAGAGGGGUAUUGGCAUCCGUCUGAUUUGAAAUGUGAACAAGGAUGUAAGUUCCUCGAACCAGAACCUACUUCUACAGUCAUUAUCUCAAACCCUAAACCUUACUAUCGUUUUGGUGAAAAAAUGGUUUUAGCGUGCCCAGAAGGUCAAUAUCUUGAAAAUGGAAUACACACUAUUGUGUGCUUGUCACCCAUUUGGUCAGAUACGUUUCUUCCCAGUUGCCUUAACAUAGAAGACCUCGGCGUUAUAAACAAGAAUACAAGACAAGGAAAGGUUAACAUUCAAUAAUCGCCUUUGUUUCUACGUCCACUUUCUUUUCUAAACAUGAACCCGAGUAAAGGUCGACAGUCACGAAAAUAGAAAGUGAAAUAAAUAUAAUAUCUUGAAAUGUUUCUCAUUACAUUCGACAGUAAUGACAAACUUAUAGGACAUCCACUUGUAAAUUGUCUGUAGGUUUAUACGUUGAAAUGAGUGUUAAUUCUCAAAUUUCACAGUGAAUACCUUUCAUGAAUGUUUAAGAAGUGUUAUGAAAAGGCUUGAAAGAUAAAUCUUUUUUUUUUCUU